CACAUCAAACUCUGUUAUCUUCGUUGAUUAUCUGAGUGUCUUAUUUAAUAAGUCAAAACUUUCAACAACGGAUCUCUUGGUUCUGGCAUCGAUGAAGAACGCAGCGAAAUGCGAUAAGUAAUGUGAAUUGCAGAAUUCAGUGAAUCAUCGAAUCUUUGAACGCACAUUGCGCCCAUUAGUAUUCUAGUGGGCAUGCCUGUUCGAGCGUCAUUUCAACCUCUAAGCACAGCUUACUGUUGGGAAUCUACGUCUGUAGUUCCUCAAAGACAUUGGCGGAGCGGCAGUAGUCCUCUGAGCGUAGUAAUUUUUUAUCUCGCUUCUGUUAGGCGCUGUCGUCCCGGCCGUUAAACCCCCAAUUUUUUCUGGUUGACCUCGGAUCAGGUAGGAAUACCCGCUGAACUUAAGCAUAUC
rnacentral:rRNA from 1 species